rnacentral:tRNA from 1 species
AUCAGAAGCUAGGUUAAUUAAACUCUGAGUUUCCAAAACUCAAAAUGGUGGUGGUCCGCCGUUUCU